UACAGAGGUCUCAAGCGUUGUUCGGAUUCAUUGGGCGUAAAGGGUGCGUAGGUGGCGCUGUAAGUCAGGUGUGAAAUUUCGGAGCUCAACUCCGAAACUGCAUUUGAUACUGCGGUGCUUGAGGACUGGAGAGGAGACUGGAAUUCACGGUGUAGCAGUGAAAUGCGUAGAUAUCGUGAGGAAGACCAGUGGCGAAGGCGGGUCUCUGGACAGUUCCUGACACUGAGGCACGAAGGUCAGGGGAGCAAACGGG
rnacentral:rRNA from 1 species